rnacentral:lncRNA from 1 species
UAAUUUUCUUCCCCUCAUAAUGUAAUUCUCACAUUUAUUUCAUGUUAUUUCUGAUUUAUUUCCCUUGUAGACAAAGGAACCUGUCAUAAUGCACUGUUGUACAUCCUUCACCUUUUAAUGGAGUGCUAUGACAUGACCACCCCUGAGGGAAACAUUGCAGAAUCCUCUUGGUAAUUUGGUCACUAAACAUAAAGAAGCAAAGAGAUUAAGCAAAAUUCUGCUUUGAAUAAAGGACUGCAUACAGUAUCGACUUGGUUCCAAUAAUAUUAAAUUACUUCAAAGGAAGAAGUGACAUAAAGCUGCAGGUGCACUGUGCACUCUACAGAGUAAGAGAUAAAGGUCCUUCUUUGAACGCACUAGCGAUGUGAUGAACUGAGAU